GCCGGAGUGGCGGAAUUGGCAGACGCGACGGAUUCAAAAUCCGUUGCCCGCAAGGGCGUGUGGGUUCGAGUCCCACCUCCGGCA
rnacentral:tRNA from 1 species